rnacentral:snoRNA from 1 species
GAGUAAUGAUGAGCAACAAGAUAGGGACAACUGAUUAUUGAAGAGAAAAGUCUAAAGCCCAGUUUUUAGUAGAACUUUGGGCGUCUCUGAAA